AACACAUUCAAGUUGAGCGAGGAUGGUUCGAGAGACUUAUGUUGAUUGGAACAUUCAAGCAGCGGACGGGUGAGUAAAGCACAAGGACUUGUCCGAAAGAGAGGGACACCUGCGGGAAACCGGAGCCAAUACCUCAUAAGCCGGAAGGUGAAAAGCAGAGAUGCGCUUUUGGAGAGACUUGUGUCCUAUCAGGCAGUUGGUGAGGUAAUGGCUCACCAAACCGAAGACGGGUAGCCGGACUGAGAGGUCGACCGGCCACAUUGGAACUGAGAGACGGUCCAGACUCCUACGGGAGGCAGCAGUGGGGAAUAUUGGGCAAUGGGCGCAAGCCUGACCCAGCGACGCCGCGUGAGGGAAGACAGCCCUUCCGG
rnacentral:rRNA from 1 species